UACAGAGGUCUCAAGCGUUUGUUCGGAUUCAUUGGGCGUAAAGGGGUGUGUAGGUGGCGCCGUAAGUCGGGGUGUGAAAUUUCGGAGCUUAACUCCGAAACUGCAUUCGAUACUGCGGUGCUUGAGGACUGGAGAGGAGACUGGAAUUCAUGGUGUAGCAGUGAAAUGCGUAGAGAUCAUGAGGAAGACCAGUGGCGAAGGCGGGUCUCUGGACAGUUCCUGACACUGAGACACGAAGGCCAGGGGAGCAAACGGG
rnacentral:rRNA from 1 species